GUUGAAACACCGAUUUUCGUACGAUCACCGAAGUUAAGCAACGUCGAGCCAGGUCAAUAUCUAGAUAGGCGACCGCUUGAGAAUACCAGGUGUUGUACU
rnacentral:rRNA from 1 species